AUGUCCGUGGUUUGGACAUGCACUCAGCGUUUGUGGCCUUUAGAUAUCAUGUUUUGCAGGACUGCACUGUAGCACUGGCAUACCCAUUUUGACUUUUAUUUCAAAGCGAAAAAUAACGGACCACUAACAAAUGAUACUGAACACUUUGGACCAAUGUGAUCGAAAAAUUUGACAUAAGGACAAUUCUAAGACACAUGAUUUAAUAAAUACAAUUCCACUUGUGGGGGAAACUGGACUGAAUAUCCUGAUCCUCUUCAAAGGCCAGUAAAUAAAACUCAAUGUCACAUUUCGUAAGAAUCAUAUUUUAUUCCUGUAAUAAUUUCAUAAAAACACAAACAACUAAAUAGAUUCUGAAAGUCAGAAGGACUGAUUUUUUUAAAUAAGAUAACUUUAUUGACAAACCUUAGUACAGCCCUAGAAAAAAAAGGAGAUACAUUAAUUAUUUUGGAUAAGAUUGCCUUUCACCAAGAAAGUUGAACAUCUGUGAGUUUUAAUAAAGGGUCACUUUGCUGUACAACAGAAAUUGAAGAAACAUUAUACAUCAACUACACUUUAAUUUUAAAUAAAUUACCACCAAUAAGAGUCAUUAGAUGCUAAAUGGAGAAAGGUAAGUAUGGGUUAAAUGAAUGGUGAAUAAGUAGAUUACAAGAAGGGUCCAUAGCCUGUAGUUAAUUCUUUUUCAAUAAAUUAGUAAAAUUUUUCUGUGGAAUAUUUACCAAUGUAUGCCAUCUUGUUUAGUCUUCAGCUCCCCUUGGCUCAAAUGAUUAAUACUAGUUGCUUUUUCCACUUCCUUUUUUAGGACCUGCCUAACAUAACGACCUGGGAAAGACAAGUAGACAAAGUAAAGGUUUGUGGGAAGCCAGGCUUUUUCUCAUCUGUGCAUAUGCCAUGUGGUCUAUGAACAUAACAGGCCCUGCUUCCUGUCUGGGGGAGUCACACAGGAACCCAGGGACUAUGUAUAUGAGCUGCCAGACACUCCAAGACACUGAACGCUCAGCCUGAGGCACAACAAAACACACUUGUGCAGGGGAAUCCGUGCCACAUGCCGCUCUCCAGCCUGCUCUGGCUCUUCCUGGCCUCCGUCUUCUCUGGAUCCAGUGUGACCCAGAAAGUUAUUCAAGACCAGCCAGUUGUACCCAGUCAAGUUGGGGAGUCAGUCACCUUAAACUGUCAGUGUGAAACAUCUCAGAGCGCUUACUACCUUUUUUGGUAUAAACAGCCUCCCAGUGGAGAGAUGAUUUACCUUAAUCUUUGGGAUUCUUCUAGACAAAAUACAAAGGAUGGCCACUACUCCAUAAACUUCCAGAAAGCACAAAAAUCCAGUAGUCUCACCAUUUCAGCCUUACAGCUGAAUGAUUCUGCAAUGUACUUCUGUGCUCUCUGGGAGCUCACAGUGCCUGAAGCAAUAGGAGAGGCUGAACAAAAACCCCAGAGCUCAAUAAUAGAGAGCCCCUCUGCUAUAGGACUCAAGCUGAACUCCACACCUGCAGACCCCAAACAAGAAAUAGUCAUGUUGUGGUUGCUUCAUCUGUGGUUUGGAUCAAACAUUUAAUUCUAAGUAAAAUCUCUUUCUAUCUCAUUUUGAAAUAGGUGUUCAGGGUAACUUUCCACUAUUGCAAUCUCUUCUUGAAUUUUUUAUUUUAAAACUAUCAUACAGAAUACAUGUAAAGGUGUCUAAAAUUGAAAGUUUGCCCCGAAACCAUUUAAAGUGGCAUUUUCACCUACAGAUGCUCACAUCACCAACCUGGACUAGUUAUCUAGAAUUGUCAUGAAAAUAAUUUCCUUAGGUCUUUCUUCAGAGACUUUGUGUCCCUUAGGGUACAAUUAGAGAAGCAGAACCACAUGUGAUAUAGAAUAAGAGACACCAUGAGGAACAGAACUCAUGUAAAUGCUAGAUCUGGUGUAGGAGCCUAUGCAAAGCUGCUCUCUUUCUAUCUGGUAGUAAGCCUAAAUUUACUAUCAGCCAGCUGGGGUAACAUUUGUAGAGGAAAAUUGGAUGUGAACAAAAACAUGGACAAACUGUGACUCAUCAGGACAUACUAGAACCAUGAAGACAAUUGAAACUCGCAAAGACAUGCUAAAACUUGUCUGUCUCUCAACUCCUUCAGUCAUACAGUAGUGGGUGAUCUUUGGGGGAAGUCAGUGGCAUUUGCCAUCACGCUACACGCAUACUUGGUCCAAGAUAGAAGAUAAGGGAGAGAUCUGCUGGGAAGUGGAGUAGUUGACUCAUCAGUAGGAUGAGCUAGCUGAUCAGCAGCCACAUGUAUGAGCUGCUACAGUCCAUGCAGCCCUGCACAGAGCAGCAGAACAUAAAAAGUAUGGCAGCUUCAUUAUAACCACCUUCAAAAUCUUGCACAAAUUUCUUUCAUGGACAACUCUAAGUUAGAAUAAUUCAGAGAAGCAAAUUCUGAGAAAUAUAUUCCCACAUAGUUAAGUUGAAACAAUAUAAAGCUAUUACAGUUUCUUGUUAACUAGUUUACUUGCCUCCUUGUUAACUAUGUAUCCAUCUGUACCUCUUUUAACAACACAAAUAAAGACAACGGCAAAACUGUGCUUCCUGCUAAUGUGAUAACAAUUAUUCCUCAUUCAACCCAAAACAAGCUAACCCUCUCCUGCAAAGAGUAAAGCAAGUUGAUUUAUCCAUUUUGGGGUGAUGUUUUUCUUCUACAUGAGUCACACGCUCUCCAAAAUCUUCUGUCUUAAAUAUUGUGAUGUAACAAGAUUUAAGACUAACUUAUAUUAGCACAUCUUAGGUUACUAUCUGCAGGCAAGUG